rnacentral:rRNA from 1 species
AACGUAGGAGACGAACGUUAUCCGGAGUUACUGGGCGUAAAGGGCGUGUAGGCGGUUUGUUAAGUCUGGCGUGAAAGCUCUCGGCUAAACCGGGAGAGGUCGUUGGAUACUGGCGAACUAGAGGAUGGUAGAGGCGUGUGGAAUUCCGCGUGUAGCAGUGAAAUGCGUAGAUAUGCGGAGGAACACCGAUGGCGAAGGCAAUCCCUCGGUCGGUC